UACAAACAUACACACGUAUCCAGUGCGCCUGCGCCGCUGUCUUACGUAAUGUGGGUGCAUUUGGUGGCUUUUGUUGUUUAUAUCGAAAUUUCAGCAUAUCACAGUGCAUGUCGAAAGAACUAUAAUUGCUAAUGGAGAAACUUCUCUAUAUACCAGGGGAAUCAGGCCACAGAAAAGAAAAUAGGUUCGUUUCGCGAACUUUAAAAAUUUAUUUGCACACGUUAUAUUUUCAUAUCCAAAAUGGCUUCCCCACAGAAUUAUGCCAGACGACAAAACAUAAUCGCUGGAUAAAUAAUACAAAAUGAAACCGCACAAUAAAAUAUACAGGAGAAAGAAGAAACUAUGCUGUAUAAUAAGCAGUUAUGAGGGGAAGAUUUCUCAAGUAUUCAAAUAAGUAAUUUUGAAAACAGCAGUAAUAACAUCAAGAAUAUCAUGAUAAUCAUCAACAGCAACUUCCAUUGUCAGACGUGAUAACCUAGGAGAGUGCGGAGAGAAAAGUAAUAUAUCUUUGCUUUCGAAAAGAGCGAAGCAGAUUAACUUUUGUUUCACGUCAGGUAGUACGUAAGCCCUUCAAAGCAUUUCGGGGGAAAUAAUCUGAAAUGAAAAUGGAAAAAGCUAUGGCACUAUUUGUUGUACCUUCAAAACCGACAACAGCGAAAGAAUUGUCUGAAAUAGUCAGAACUUUGACUAUACAACUAUGACCCAGGAUGUAGGUCAAAGGAGCAGGAUUGAAGGUAAGAGAGACUGUACACGAAGUUGACCUCUAUCAGCAAUGGGUUUUAUGUCGCAGUAUGGGAGUGUUGAUCGAAUUAGACUUUACUUGACAUGUGAUCAGGGCACGUGAAAAUGAACUAACGAGUCCAAGUGACCCUCGCAGGUAACAGAGCUAUAUCGGAACAGUGUCCAGCAGAAGGUGCCAUGACAAAGAGCAAAAUAUUGGUGAUUCAGGUCAGAAAAAA